rnacentral:rRNA from 1 species
AGUGAACGCUGGCGGUAGGCCUAACACAUGCAAGUCGAACGGCAGCACAGUAAGAGCUUGCUCUUACGGGUGGCGAGUGGCGGACGGGUGAGGAAUACAUCGGAAUCUACUUUUUCGUGGGGGAUAACAUAGGGAAACUUACGCUAAUACCGCAUACGACCUACGGGUGAAAGCAGGGGAUCUUCGGACCUUGCGCGAUUGAAUGAGCCGAUGUCGGAUUAGCUAGUUGGCGGGGUAAAGGCCCACCAAGGCGACGAUCCGUAGCUGGUCUGAGAGGAUGAUCAGCCACACUGGAACUGAGACACGGUCCAGACUCCUACGGGAGGCAGCAGUGGGGAAUAUUGGACAAUGGGCGCAGGCCUGAUCCAGCCAUACCGCGUGGGUGAAGAAGGCCUUCGGGUUGUAAAGCCCUUUUGUUGGGAAAGAAAAGCAGCAGGUUAAUACCCCGCUGUUCUGACGGUACCCAAAGAAUAAGCACCGGCUAACUUCGUG